rnacentral:misc_RNA from 1 species
UACGUAGGGCGCAAGCGUUGUCCGGAAUUAUUGGGCGUAAAGAGCUCGUAGGCGGUUUGUCGCGUCUGCUGUGAAAACGCGGGGCUUAACCUCGCGCGUGCAGUGGGUACGGGCAGACUAGAGUGCGGUAGGGGAGACUGGAAUUCCUGGUGUAGAGGUGGAAUGCGUAGAUAUCAGGAGGAGCACCGGUGGCGUAGGCGGGUCUCUGGGCCGUUACUGACGGUGAGGUGCGAUAGCAUGGGGGGCGAACAGG